GAUGAACGCUGACAGAAUGCUUAACACAUGCAAGUCAACUUGAAUUUGGGUUUUUAACUUAGAUUUGGGUGGCGGACGGGUGAGUAACGCGUAAAGAACUUGCCUCACAGCUAGGGACAACAUUUAGAAAUGAAUGCUAAUACCUGAUAUUAUGAUUUUAAGGCAUCUUAGAAUUAUGAAAGCUAUAAGCACUGUGAGAGAGCUUUGCGUCCCAUUAGCUAGUUGGAGAGGUAACAGCUCACCAAGGCGAUGAUGGGUAGCCGGCCUGAGAGGGUGAACGGCCACAAGGGGACUGAGACACUGCCCUUACUCCUACGGGAGGCAGCAGUGGGGAAUAUUGGACAAUGGACCGAGAGCCUGAUUCAGCAAUUCUGUGUGCACGGUGAAGUUUUUUCGGAAUGUAAAGUGCUUUCCGUCCGGAAGAUAUGUAAAUGUCUU
rnacentral:rRNA from 1 species